GACGAACGCUGGCGGCGUGCUUAACACAUGCAAGUCGAACGGAGUGGCGAACGGGUGAGUAACACGUGGGUGACCUGCCCUGCACUUCGGGAUAAGCCUGGGAAACUGGGUCUAAUACCGGAUAGUGUGGGAGGGGCCCGCGGCCUAUCAGCUUGUGGGUGGGGUAAUGGCCUACCAAGGCGGCGACGGGUAGCCGGCCUGAGAGGGUGGACGGCCACAGUGGGACUGAGACACGGACCAGAAUCCUACGGGAGGCAGCAGGGGGGAAGAUUGCACAAUGGGCGGAAGCCUGAGGCAGCGACGCCGCGUGGGGGAUGAAGGACUUCGGGUUGUAAACUCCGUUCACCAGCGACGCGGUAGAUGGAGAAGAAGCACCGGCUAACUACGUGCCAGCAGCCGCGGUAAUUC
rnacentral:rRNA from 1 species